UACUCCUACGGGAGGCAGCAGUAGGGAAUCUUCCACAAUGGACGAAAGUCUGAUGGAGCAACGCCGCGUGUGUGAUGAAGGGUUUCGGCUCGUAAAACACUGUUGUAAGAGAAGAAUGACAUUGAGAGUAACUGUUCAGUGUGUGACGGUAUCUUACCAGAAAGGAACGGCUAAAUACGUGCCAGCAGCCGCGGUAAU
rnacentral:rRNA from 2 species